GUGCUACGGCAGCACAUCUACUAAAAUUGGAACGAUGCAGAGAAGAUUGGCAUGGCCCAGCGCAAAGAUAACACACAAAUUCACGAAGCAUUCCAUAUUAAA
ensembl:snRNA U6 U6 spliceosomal RNA